UAGCUGUUAGCACAGCUGCCAUUGUUGCAUUUCAAAGCCAUCAAAGGCAGUGGCGAGUGCUGCCCCCAGGAGGAUCAAAGAAGGGAUUACACAACAUGAUUUUUUUCCAGAGCUGGUUCAUGUGGCAACUUUCUCAGUGCAUUGCUCCAAUCCACACCCCUAAAUUGGAGCUACAAGCUUCCAUGACCCAGGGUCACCCAGCCAGGGACCAUCCAGGUGUCUGAGUAAAGUGGACAGAUCAGCUGGGGGUCCUACAGAAAUAAGACUUAUAUAUUUGGAUUUAUUUCCCCCAAAAUGGAACUUAAUAUUUUAUUUUUAUUGAGUUAAAAUAGUACAACCCAAACCAUAGUCAAUUAAGAGAACCAUACGUCUGUGUGUGAGGAAAGGUAUACUCCUGUCUUCAGGGCACCGUGCUACUCAAGAAUCUGGUCUCAGAUACCAGUUCAGUGGCCUUGUGGUCCACCCUGAGACUGGGUGUUAGGAGGUUUGAUUCCCCUGCUGAGGGGCUUCCUCCCUCUCAAAAAUUAACUUACAGAAUUUAUAAGAAUAGAUUAUUCCAGAAUUAUUCAAAAGUAGGACAAUUAAUAAAGCCACUGCUUGGUUAAAAAUUACCCUGGCAGGUGUUUUCAUUAAUAACCUCUUUGACCUAGCAGUGGCUAACACAUGUUGUGUUUAAUUCACAUGAUAACUAUUUUAUGUGUUAAAAUAGCAUUAACUCAAAAGUGUGUCUAGGAUAAUAACACAGGAUGUGUAAAUAUAACAUAACAAAUGUUAAAAUAUAAUAACACAAAAAAUGUGUAUGAUUUUAACACAUUCAUUUUGAGAGUGUG